CAGAAGAUAGUUUAAUUAGAAUGCCAGCUUUGGGAGCUGUAGAUGGAGGUUAAAGUCCUCUUCUUCUGA
rnacentral:tRNA from 1 species